GUUCUUGGCUCAGGAUGAACGCUAGCUACAGGCUUAACACAUGCAAGUCGAGGGGCAGCAUGGUCUUAGCUUGCUAAGGCCGAUGGCGACCGGCGCACGGGUGAGUAACACGUAUCCAACCUGCCGUCUACUCUUGGACAGCCUUCUGAAAGGAAGAUUAAUACAAGAUGGCAUCAUGAGUCCGCAUGUUCACAUGAUUAAAGGUAUUCCGGUAGACGAUGGGGAUGCG
rnacentral:rRNA from 1 species